rnacentral:rRNA from 1 species
GACGAACCGUGCAAACGUUGUUCGGAAUCACUGGGCUUAAAGGGCGCGUAGGCGGCUUAUCAAGUCGGGGGUGAAAUACUUCAGCUUAACUGGAGAAGUGCCUUCGAUACUGGUGGGCUUGAGGGAGGUAGGGGUCUGUGGAACUUCUGGUGGAGCGGUGAAAUGCGUUGAUAUCGGGAGGAACACCGGUGGCGAAGGCGGCGACCUGGGUAGAUACUGACGCUGAGGUGCGAAAGCGUGGGGAGCAGACAGG